GCCAGAAUGGUGUAGUGGUUUGAGCAUUGGACUAUGACUCUGAAGACUAGGGUUUGAAUCCCAGCUCAGCCA
rnacentral:tRNA from 1 species